rnacentral:rRNA from 1 species
CUACGGGAGGCAGCAGUGAGGAAUAUUGGUCAAUGGACGCAAGUCUGAACCAGCCAUGCCGCGUGCAGGAUGACGGUCCUAUGGAUUGUAAACUGCUUUUGUACAGGAAGAAACAUCUCUACGUGUAGAGACUUGACGGUACUGUAAGAAUAAGGAUCGGCUAACUCCGUGCCAGCAGCCGCGGUAAUACGGAGGAUCCAAGCGUUAUCCGGAAUCAUUGGGUUUAAAGGGUCCGUAGGCGGCUUAGCAAGUCAGUGGUGAAAUCUCCCCGCUCAACGGGGAAACGGCCAUUGAUACUACUAGGCUUGAAUUAUUAGGAAGUAACUAGAAUAUGUAGUGUAGCGGUGAAAUGCUUAGAUAUUACAUGGAAUACCAAUUGCGAAGGCAGGUUACUACUAAUUGAUUGACGCUGAUGGACGAAAGCGUGGGGAGCGAACAGGAUUAGAUACCCCGGUAGC